GGAGGGGGGGCAAGCGUUAUUCGGAAUUAUUGGGCGUAAAGGGCGUGUAGGCGGCUUCGUGUGUCUUUUGUGAAAGCCCUCGGGCUCAACCGAGGAAUUGCAGGAGAAACUGCGGAGCUCGAGUCCGGGAGAGGAGAGCGGAAUUCCCAGUGUAGCGGUGAAAUGCGUAGAUAUUGGGAGGAACACCCGUGGCGAAGGCGGCUCUCUGGACCGGUACUGACGCUGAGACGCGAAAGCUAGGGGAGCAAACGGGAUUAGAUACCCUGGUAGUCCUAGCUGUAAACGUUGAGCACUUGGUGUGGCGGGUAUCGACCCCUGCCGUGCCGAAGCUAACGCAUUAAGUGCUCCGCCUGGGGAGUACGGCCGCAAGGCUG
rnacentral:rRNA from 1 species